rnacentral:misc_RNA from 1 species
UAGAAUUUCCCAAAAUGAAUAUCCCAAUAGCAUCAAAACCCAAUACAACCGCUACCAUCAACAGCGACGCCAAUCCAUCCGCUGGACAAUGCGGCAACUGCGACACCAAAGACAGCUGGCCCCUCCACCACGUCCGCCUCCGAGGCAUCUAUCGCCGUCUCUGUACCUCCUGCGUCCUUCGCCUCCAUCCUUCCUCUUUCUGCCCUUCCUGCUUCACACUUUAUGACUCUUCCCCUCCUCCUCCCUGCAAGCGCCUCUCCUGCUCCAAUUGCUCCUCCUUCACCCACUCACACUGCGCCCCCUCUCACCCUCCUUCACCUUUCCCCUUCCUCUGCCCGCCUUGCGC